rnacentral:rRNA from 1 species
GCAUACCUACGGGAGGCAGCAGUGGGGAUAUUGCACAAUGGGGGGAACCCUGAUGCAGCGACGCCGCGUGGGUGAAGGAGCGUUUCGGCGCGUAAAGCCCUAUCGGCAGGGAAGAAGGAGGACGGUACCUGACUAAGAAGCCCCGGCUAACUACGUGCCAGCAGCCGCGGUAAUACGUAGGGGGCAAGCGUUAUCCGGAUUUACUGGGUGUAAAGGGAGCGUAGACGGCAGUGCGAGUCUGAAGUGAAAGGCAAGGGCUCAAACCUUGGACUGCUUUGGAAACUGUGCUGCUGGAGUGUCGGAGG